rnacentral:rRNA from 1 species
GAUGAACGCUGGCUACAGGCUUAACACAUGCAAGUCGAGGGGAAACGACGGGGAAGCUUGCUUCCCCGGGCGUCGACCGGCGCACGGGUGAGUAACGCGUAUCCAACCUGCCUCUGACUGAGGGAUAACCCGUCGAAAGUCGGCCUAAUACCUCAUGGUAUCGUCUGCGGGCAUCCAACGACGAUUAAAGAUUUCAUCGGUCAGGGAUGGGGAUGCGUCUGAUUAGCUUGUUGGCGGGGUAACGGCCCACCAAGGCUACGAUCAGUAGGGGUUCUGAGAGGAAGGUCCCCCACAUUGGAACUGAGACACGGUCCAAACUCCUACGGGAGGCAGCAGUGAGGAAUAUUGGUCAAUGGGCGAGAGCCUGAACCAGCCAAGUAGCGUGCAGGAAGACGGCCCUAUGGGUUGUAAACUGCUUUUAUGCGGGGAUAAAGUGAGGGACGUGUCCCUCAUUGCAGGUACCGCAUGAAUAAGGACCGGCUAAUUCCGUGCCAGCAGCCGCGGUAAUACGGAAGGUCCUGGCGUUAUCCGGAUUUAUUGGGUUUAAAGGGAGCGUAGGCCGUGGAUUAAGCGUGUUGUGAAAUGCAGGUGCUCAACGUCUGCACUGCAGCGCGAACUGGUCCACUUGAGUGUGCGCAACGCAGGCGGAAUUCGUCGUGUAGCGGUGAAAUGCUUAGAUAUGACGAAGAACUCCGAUUGCGAAGGCAGCUUGCGGGAGCACAACUGACGCUGAAGCUCGAAAGUGCGGGCAUCGAACAGG